rnacentral:rRNA from 1 species
UACGGAGGGUGCAAGCGUUAUCCGGAUUCACUGGGUUUAAAGGGUGCGUAGGUGGUUUUGUAAGUCAGUGGUGAAAGCCCGGAGCUUAACUCCGGAACUGCCAUUGAUACUGCUUAACUUGAAUCAACUUGAGGUGGAUGGAAUAUUACAUAUAGCGGUGAAAUGCUUAGAUAUGUAAUAGAACACCGAUUGCGAAGGCAGUUCACUAAGGUUGUAUUGACACUGAGGCACGAAAGCGUGGGGAUCAAACAGG